GAUCAUGGCUCAGGAUGAACGCUGGCGGCGUGCUUAACACAUGCAAGUCGAACGAAGCACUUUAACCUGAUUCUUCGAAUGAAGGUUUUUGUGACUGAGUGGCGGACGGGUGAGUAACGCGUGGGUAACCUGCCUCAUACAGGGGGAUAACAGUUAGAAAUGACUGCUAAUACCGCAUAAGACCACGGAGCCGCAUGGCUCAGUGGGAAAAACUCCGGUGGUAUGAGAUGGACCCGCGU
rnacentral:rRNA from 1 species